rnacentral:rRNA from 1 species
CUCGCUGGUGUCUCGCACGGCGCGACUGUUGUCGGUGCCGUAGGGAAGCCGUGAAGCGAGCCACCUGGGAAGUACGGCCGCAAGGCUGAAACUUAAAGGAAUUGGCGGGGGAGCACCACAACGGGUGGAGCUUGCGGUUUAAUUGGAUUCAACGCCGGAAAUCUCACCGGGACCGACAGCAAAAUGAAGGCCAGGCUGAAGACUUUGCCUGAUUAGCUGAGAGGAGGUGCAUGGCAAA